AACGAACGCUGGCGGCAUGCCUAACACAUGCAAGUCGAACGAAACCUUCGGGUCUGGUUGCUCCCGGGUGCGUAACGCGUUGGAACCUUCCCUUAGGUUCGGAAUACCUCCCCGAAAGGGGUGCUAUUCCCGGAUAAUGUCUUCGGACCAAAGAUUUAUCGCCUUUUGAUGGGCCCGCGUUGGAUUAGCUAGUUGGUAGGGUAAAAGCCUACCAAGGCGACGAUCCAUAGCUGGUCUGAGUGGAUGAUCAGCCACACUGGGACUGAGACACGGCCCAGACUCCUACGGGAGGCAGCAGUGGGGAAUAUUGGACAAUGGGCGAAAGUCUGAUCCAGCAAUGCCGCGUGAGUGAUGAAGGCAUUAGGGUUGUAAAGCUCUUUUAGCCGGGAUGAUAAUGACAGUACCGGGAGAAUAAGCUCCGGCUAACUCCGUG
rnacentral:rRNA from 1 species